UGUAAAAGUUACCAUUUCAAAUUUUGUGUGUGAUGCGCCUGCAAGGGCUUUUGUGAAAAGUGUGAAGAACCACAAUGGCUAUAGUGGAUGUGAGAAAUGUGUACAAAAUGGGGUUUGGGAAAGUAAUCGAAUGACUUUUCCUGAAGUAGGUGCUGCCCCCAGAACUGAUGUCAUGUUUGAUGAGAUGGUUGAUGAAGACCACCAUAUGGGAGAUUGUUCAUUGAGGAAAUUGAAAAUUGGAAUGGUAUCACAGUUCCCCCUAGAUUUUAUGCAUUUAGUUUGCUUAGGGGUAAUGAGAAGGCUGUUGCUGUUGUGGAUAAAAGGGCCCCUCCCCACUAGAACUGGAGGUCAGCACGUAAAACUCAUCAGUGAAUCCAUAGUCAAUUUCGUUUCUUUCUUGCCACGAGAGUUUGCCAGAAAAGGACGAUCUCUUGCUGAAAUUGAUAGAUGGAAAGCAACAGAGUUUCGGACUUUCCUUCUAUACACUGGUCCAGUAGCACUCAAAGGAAAAAUACCUGAUGCUCUGUAUUACCAUUUUCUUAUGCUUCAUGUCGGUAUCACAAUAUUAUGCAGUCCGUUAUUGUGCACACAAUACUGUGAUUAUGCAGAAGAGUUACUAGUUUUAUUUGUUCAACAGUUCGCAUCUGUUUAUGGCAAUAUAGUUGUAUAUAAUAUUCAUGGACUAGUUCAUUUGGCUAAUGAUGUUAGGAAAUUUGGUCCAUUACAGAACUUUUCAGCAUUCCCAUUUGAGAACUACCUUCAAAUCAUUAAAAGAAUGAUCAGAAAGCCAAAAUACCCACUUCAACAAGUAAUUCGUAGGUUGUCAGAAAAAAAAUGUGCUGGGCAAUCCAAGCAGUUGAAAAGAGGUUGCAAAAAGGAGCACUUCUCUGGGCCUUUACCUGCCAAUAUCCUCCCAUGUUUCAGGCAGUUUAAGGAAUUGCACAUGGACACCUUUAUGAUUUCUGUUAACACAGGUGACAAUGCCAUUCUUGUUGACCAAAACAUUUUUCUUGUAAAAAAUAUCAUUGUUGUUGACGACGUUACAAGCUUGGUUUGCCAAAAGUUUUCUGUAAAAGUCCCUUUCUUUCAAUAUCCUGUAGAUUCUCUUAAGAUAAAUAUAGCAUUUGUUAAAGAUCCACAACAUUAUAUUGUUCAUUUACCAGUGCCUGAUAUUUCUGCCAAAGUUGUUCUUUUGCCUUACAAUGAUGGGUUUGUGGCAUUUCCAUUAAAUCAUACCUUAGAGAUAAUGUAAUAAUUGGUGCACAAUAUCCUAAUUUAUUCAGUUUUAAUUCCAUUUCAGUUCUACUCCGUAUGUACUGUAGAUAUUGAUGAUUUAUCACUAUGAUCUGGUUCAGUCUUAUUUAGCAAAAUCAGCUUGGUUGUACUUUUUGUUGUUAGGACAUUUACAGUAAUAUAUUUCUGGUUUUUGGUGGCUUUUUCAAGUUUAUUUCACUCCAAUACCAUGUUAUUUUUUUAGAAUAACAAUGUAUGCAGUGGUUUUGUUCAAGGAAACUGAGGAGGUGGAAGUUGUACCAUCAGUUUGGUUGAAUGUGGAUAAACUUUUGUGCCUGUGGCCUUCUUAUAAAAGUACUGUAAGAGUUCGAAAAGCAGUGGAGCUUCAGGAGACACCCACCGAGACAUGGGACAAACACGAAGUACGGGUGCUUCAUGAGACAGUGACAUAUGAGAAGGCGCGCAAGAAACUGAGAAGGGCAACCGAAACAUCCGAUCUGAACACCACAGAUGAUGAACAAACACGGAAGCGGAAACCCUCUACAAAGCUGUCAUUUCUAGAAGAUGAAGAAGAUUUUUCCAUAAGCAAGAAUGUGAGAUCAUCACAAAGGAUGCCACUCUUGCCAACUCCACCUUUGUUUCCAACAACAGUAGCAUCACCCAGCAGCAGCAGCAGCAGCAGCAGCAGCAAGAACACCAGCAACAGUGAAGAUGGAAAUAUCAGCAGUGAUGACAGGAACUACAACAGCAACACCAGCAGCAAUGACACUGGAACUGGGAACAGGGACAAGAGCAGCUAUGUGCCUCUAUCAGACAGGGAUAGGAUGAUCUUCACCAUUUUAGAAGAAAUCAAGGGCCAGGGGAGACAAAACACCCUGAUGCUUCAGGCACUUCUCAAGCGGCAGCCUCAUGUAGAGCAAGAGCAUGGCAGCCUGCGCCUGGACGAAUUCCGGUUUCCUCUUGACACCAAGGAGGACAUUGACAGAGUGGAGAGGAUGUUAAUGGACCAGGCUACAGAAAAGGCACUGGUAUGUGACCGUUGUACGAUUGUUAACAAAGUCCUUUUCUUUUCAGAUUAUAAUAACCAAUACAUUGUCAUUAAUAGUUUUUGAAAAAAAAAAUGCAAUCAGAUGCUAAAAGCUUCUGUCCUUAUUGAAUUAUAUCUUCAGCUUUUUCUCAGAUUUUUAUAUAAUUAUUCCUGAUAAUUACUUCUGUACAUAUUGUUGCGUUUUUCUAUGGUGUUCAUUUAUUAUAUCCAUUUUAAAGGUGUAAAAAAUCACUACAAGUUUCCUUGUGUUUCACAUGUAGUCGUUUGUUUGCUUUUUCAUAUUUUGCAGCUUCAUUUCUAAUGAUUUAGAAGUAUGCUAAUGUCUCAG